UACGUAGGGGGCGAGCGUUGUCCGGAGUUACUGGGCGUAAAGCGCUUGUAGGCGGUCCACCAAGUUUGGGGUGACAGUUAUCGACUUAAUCGGCAAAGUGCCUCAAAGACUGGCGGACUUGAGGGCCACAGAGGGACAUGGAACUCCAGGUGUAGUGGUGAAAUGCGUAGAUAUCUGGAAGAACACCAAAGGCGAAGGCAGUGUCCUGGGUGGUCGCUGACGCUGAGAGGCGAAAGCCAGGGGAGCGAACGGG
rnacentral:rRNA from 1 species